rnacentral:rRNA from 1 species
GUGAAAUCUCAGAGCUCAACUCUGAAACUGCAUCCGAUACUGCCGCGCUAGAGUAAUGGAGGGGUAACUGGAAUUCUCAGUGUAGCAGUGAAAUGCGUAGAUAUUGAGAGGAAGACCAACGGCGAAGGCAGGUUACUGGACAUUACUGACGCUGAGGCUCGAAGGCUAGGGUAGCGAAAGGGAUUAGAUACCCCUGUAGUCCUAGCAGUAAACGAUGUGCGCUUGGUGUAGGUGGGUUCGACCCCAUCUGUGCCGGAGCUAACGCGUUAAGCGCACCGCCUGGGGAGUACGGUCGCAAGACUAAAACUCAAAGAAAUUGACGGGGACCCGCACAAGCGGUGGAGUAUGUGGCUUAAUUCGAUGCAACGCGAAGAACCUUACCUAGGCUUGACAUGUAUUGCUAAGCAGUUGAAAGGCUGUGACCCUUCGGGGACCUUACACAGGUGCUGCAUGGCC